rnacentral:rRNA from 1 species
GAUGAACGCUGGCGGCGUGCUUAACACAUGCAAGUCGAGCGAAGCGCUUUGGCGGAUUUCUUCGGAUUGAAGCCUUGGUGACUGAGCGGCGGACGGGUGAGUAACGCGUGGGUAACCUGCCUCAUACAGGGGGAUAACAGUUGGAAACGACUGCUAAUACCGCAUAAGCGCACAGUACCGCAUGGUACGGUGUGAAAAACUCCGGUGGUAUGAGAUGGACCCGCGUCUGAUUAGGUAGUUGGUGGGGUAACGGCCUACCAAGCCGACGAUCAGUAGCCGACCUGAGAGGGUGACCGGCCACAUUGGGACUGAGACACGGCCCAAACUCCUACGGGAGGCAGCAGUGGGGAAUAUUGCACAAUGGGGGAAACCCUGAUGCAGCGACGCCGCGUGAGCGAUGAAGUAUUUCGGUAUGUAAAGCUCUAUCAGCAGGGAAGAAAAUGACGGUACCUGACUAAGAAGCCCCGGCUAACUACGUGCCAGCAGCCGCGGUAAUACGUAGGGGGCAAGCGUUAUCCGGAUUUACUGGGUGUAAAGGGAGCGUAGACGGCAUGGCAAGCCAGAUGUGAAAGCCCGGGGCUCAACCCCGGGACUGCAUUUGGAACUGUCAGGCUAGAGUGUCGGAGAGGUAAGCGGAAUUCCUAGUGUAGCGGUGAAAUGCGUAGAUAUUAGGAGGAACACCAGUGGCGAAGGCGGCUUACUGGACGAUGACUGACGUUGAGGCUCGAAAGCGUGNGGAGCAAACAGG